GACGAACGCUGGCGGCGUGCUUAACACAUGCAAGUCGAACGCUGAAGCUUGGUGCUUGCACUGGGUGGAUGAGUGGCGAACGGGUGAGUAAUACGUGAGUAACCUGCCCUUGACUCUGGGAUAAGCCUGGGAAACUGKGUCUAAUACUGGAUACGACAUGUCACCGCAUGGUGGUGUGUGGAAAGGGUUUUACUGGUUUUGGAUGGGCUCACGGCCUAUCAGCUUGUUGGUGGGGUAAUGGCUCACCAAGGCGACGACGGGUAGCCGGCCUGAGAGGGUGACCGGCCACACUGGGACUGAGACACGGCCCAGACUCCUACGGGAGGCAGCAGUGGGGAAUAUUGCACAAUGGGCGAAAGCCUGAUGCAGCGACGCCGCGUGAGGGAUGACGGCCUUCGGGUUGUAAACCUCUUUCAGCACGGAAGAAGCGAAAGUGACGGUACGUGCAGAAGAAGCGCCGGCUAACUACGUGCCAGCAGCCGCGGUAAUACGUAGGGCGCAAGCGUUGUCCGGAAUUAUUGGGCGUAAAGAGCUCGUAGGCGGUUUGUCGCGUCUGCUGUGAAAGCCCGGGGCUUAACCCCGGGUGUGCAGUGGGUACGGGCAGACUUGAGUGCAGUAGGGGAGACUGGAAUUCCUGGUGUAGCGGUGAAAUGCGCAGAUAUCAGRAGGAACACCGAUGGCGAAGGCAGGUCUCUGGGCUGUUACUGACGCUGAGGAGCGAAAGCAUGGGGAGCGAACAGGAUUAGAUACCCUGGUAGUCCAUGCCGUAAACGUUGGGCACUAGGUGUGGGGAACAUUCCACGUUUUCCGCGCCGUAGCUAACGCAUUAAGUGCCCCGCCUGGGGAGUACGGCCGCAAGGCUAAAACUCAAAGGAAUUGACGGGGGCCCGCACAAGCGGCGGAGCAUGCGGAUUAAUUCGAUGCAACGCGAAGAACCUUACCAAGGCUUGACAUACACCGGACCGGGCCAGAGAUGGUCUUUCCCCCUUGUGGGGCUGGUGUACAGGUGGUGCAUGGUUGUCGUCAGCUCGUGUCGUGAGAUGUUGGGUUAAGUCCCGCAACGAGCGCAACCCUCGUUCUAUGUUGCCAGCACGUGAUGGUGGGGACUCAUAG
rnacentral:rRNA from 1 species